CAAAAAUAUUACCUAUUCCUAUAACCCUCUGCAAAUUAAAUUGGAGACCUAGCCUAACGAUUGAAAUGGAAGAAAGAUCAGGAACCAGCUAGCGCUCUCAAUCUCACUCCAAAUCUCAGUUCUCCUUUGCACUCUUGCUCUCAAUCUCACUGGCGCUCUCAAUCGUGCUCCUUCGCUCCUUGAAUCUUUCUCGUUUCAACAAAUUUUAGGGUUGGAUUUGUUAUUUUCUGUUUUGAGAUUUUGAAUUUAGGUAUAAAUGAGUUUAAUUGCUCCUUCAAUUCAGUGGUGGGACUAGCAAGAAAACUUCACAAUCAGAUUUGAUAAUCAGAAUUGGAGAAUAAGAGUGCCAUAUCUAAGAGUUGAGGGAUUGUUGAAUUUGAUUGUAGAGCUUGAGAGCGGAAGCCACGACUGUGUCCACCGAGAAGGCUUCAUCUUCGAACAGCAUCUGAUUUCUCGUCUUCCAUAUGAGCCAACUCAGAAUCGCCAUCAAACUGUACGGAGAAGGAGCUUCGUCGCCGUCAAGAUCGAUAGAAUGAAUUGUCGAUAUCCUCUUCUACUGAUGUGGAUGGAAUACGGUGAUUCAGUGCUUGAAGGGUUGGGAGCCUCUCAUGAAAUCCCCUCCAGAGAAAGAUCUUGAUCUUCACCGGAAUCCUCAGCUGCCACAUAUCCUUCCAGAGAGCUCGAUUUUGCAUAGCUUCAGAGCAAAAUUCAACCGGUGGGUGAUUGAACCUGUAAGCUACCUGGUAUCCUCUACUUGUUUCGUACAGACCACUUCUAUUAAGAGCUCAUAUAAUUUUAUCAUCUCCCCUGUUUAUACGUGUGGCCAGUAUCCUCUCAGAAUUUUCAGAAUUGAAAGUGUUUGUAAUAAGAGUUUGAUCCCACUCACCAUUGGGUAAAAUUAAAUUUCUGACAUAC